rnacentral:rRNA from 1 species
GCGGCGUGCCUAACACAUGCAAGUCGAACGGGAAUCUUCGGAUUCUAGUGGCGGACGGGUGAGUAACGCGUAAGAAUCUAACUUCAGGACGGGGACAACAGUUGGAAACGACUGCUAAUACCCGAUGUGCCGAAAGGUGAAACCUAAUUGGCCUGAAGAAGAGCUUGCGUCUGAUUAGCUAGUUGGUGGGGUAAAGGCCUACCAAGGCGACGAUCAGUAGCUGGUCUGAGAGGAUGAGCAGCCACACUGGGACUGAGACACGGCCCAGACUCCUACGGGAGGCAGCAGUGGGGAAUUUUCCGCAAUGGGCGAAAGCCUGACGGAGCAACGCCGCGUGAGGGAGGAAGGUCUUUGGAUUGUAAACCUCUUUUCUCAAGGAAGAAGUUCUGACGGUACUUGAGGAAUCAGCCUCGGCUAACUCCGUGCCAGCAGCCGCGGUAAUACGGGGGAGGCAAGCGUUAUCCGGAAUUAUUGGGCGUAAAGCGUCCGCAGGUGGUCAGCCAAGUCUGCCGUCAAAUCAGGUUGCUUAACGACCUAAAGGCGGUGGAAACUGGCAGACUAGAGAGCAGUAGGGGUAGCAGGAAUUCCCAGUGUAGCGGUGAAAUGCGUAGAGAUUGGGAAGAACAUCGGUGGCGAAAGCGUGCUACUGGGCUGUAUCUGACACUCAGGGACGAAAGCUAGGGGAGCGAAAGGGAUUAGAUACCCCUGUAGUCCUAGCCGUAAACGAUGGAUACUAGGCGUGGCUUGUAUCGACCCGAGC